ensembl:misc_RNA Metazoa_SRP Metazoan signal recognition particle RNA
GCCAGGUGUGGCGGUGCACGCCUGUGAUCCCAGCUACUCGGUGGGCUGAGGUGGGAGGAUCGCUUGAGCCCGGGAGUUCGAGGCUGCAGUGAACCGAGAUGGCGCCGCUGCACUCCAGCCUGGGCGAUAGAGCGAGACCUCGUCUCAA